rnacentral:rRNA from 1 species
GACGAACCGUGCGAACGUUGUUCGGAUUCACUGGGCUUAAAGGGCGCGUAGGCGGGCGGUCAAGUCGGGGGUGAAAUCUUUCCGCUUAACGGGAAGCGUGCCUCCGAUACUGAUCGCCUCGAGGGAGGUAGGGGCAUGUGGAACUUCCGGUGGAGCGGUGAAAUGCGCAGAUAUCAGGAGGAACACCGGUGGCGAAGGCGGGUCUCUGGGCCGAUACUGACGCUGAGGAGCGAAAGCAUGGGUAGCGAACAGG